rnacentral:lncRNA from 1 species
AAGCUGAACUCAAUGCCAGCUUGCUUGCCGUGGUAACGGCGUCGUCACCUUUGUUACUUUGGGGCUGAAAUUAUUUUCGGAGGUCUUCCCGUGUAGCUUUUUGACUUUCCAACAACAACCUGUAGUGAUAUAUGAUCAAAAGCAAAAUUAAAUUAUUAGCCACAGAUAGCAGAGUGAUAGUGCUUUAGGAUUUAACAUUUUCAUGAACAUUGGGUAAGUAUGCUUGUAACCCAAAAAGGGAUCAAAGUGAAAGUGUGAAACACUUCUUCAUAUAGUUAUGAAUUGUAAGAAUGUGGUCAGCAUUCACUAAAUUCACUUAGAUUGUUCUGGACAAUAUUUAUCCUUCCUUCCCUAACCGAAAAUUCAGCUAAUGAAGGGAAGAAAGAAAAUCAGUACUGAAAGACUGAAACUUCCAAUCCAUUUCCUACAUCAAAUCAGAGAAAUAAACCGGACUGUCAACUAUAACAAUCAGCGAAAUAGGAAUUUUCUGUUGUUCCUCUUGCAAGACAACAUAAGGACAUUCAAGUUUAGUAAUUUGCGUAGCUAAACAGGAAAGCACGUGAUGUCCAUCUGGUAUCUUCUUGAUAGAAAGCUUAAUAACCGGCAACCUUACAACAAUCAGAUAGCAACAACUCACAAAAGAGUUAGAGGAAUUUCCACCCUACCUUGAUAAGAUUGGUGUAGGAGUCAAAUCCGUUGUCGGCGUCCUGGCCGGUCUCAGCCGGCAGCAACUGCAGGUUUUGGCCGCUGUAGUGGAGGAAGAGGAAGUCCAGAUCAAGUGACCUCCCUAGAAUUAUUUAAGCAAAGACCUUUGAGCAGGUAAAUACAGACGAACUGCAGCGCAUCGAUACAUGAGAACUACACAUUUGCAUAAUAGCCAUGCUAGCAUAUCUACGAAGCAUGGAACACAAUAUGUGAAAUCAAAACUCUUUCUACUGCGCCCUUUCUUCUGUUCUUCCACAGGUAAGCGAAUAACCACCACUCAUUUCAAUUUUCCCAAUAUUCUAGUAGGAAACUAUUCAUAGUUCAUGGAGAAUUUUUUAAAAAAUUAAGCAAAGCCAACUCUGUAUAAUAAACUAUGAAUUAAAGACAUAUAUACCAGUGGGAGAUAGAAA